GAUGAACGCUGGCGGCGUGCCUAAUACAUGCAAGUCGAGCGAACGGACGAGAAGCUUGCUUCUCUGAUGUUAGCGGCGGACGGGUGAGUAACACGUGGAUAACCUACCUAUAAGACUGGGAUAACUUCGGGAAACCGGAGCUAAUACCGGAUAAUAUUUUGAACCGCAUGGUUCAAAAGUGAAAGACGGUCUUGCUGUCACUUAUAGAUGGAUCCGCGCUGCAUUAGCUAGUUGGUAAGGUAACGGCUUACCAAGGCAACGAUGCAUAGCCGACCUGAGAGGGUGAUCGGCCACACUGGAACUGAGACACGGUCCAGACUCCUACGGGAGGCAGCAGUAGGGAAUCUUCCGCAAAGGGCGAAAGCCUGACGGAGCAACGCCGCGUGAGUGAUGAAGGUCUUCGGACCGUAAAACUCUGUUAUUAGGGAAGAACAUAUGUGUAAGUAACUGUGCACAUCUUGACGGUACCUAAUCAGAAAGCCACGGCUAACUACGUG
rnacentral:rRNA from 1 species